CACGCACAGGCACACGCAUGGAGAUACACACAGACACACACACACAAAACUCGGGACAGCUUCACGUGUGUACACAUCACAGUCUCGGUGACGUUUAUAGCCCACACCUCGUUACCCAAUGGGCAGUUAAAAGUCAGCCAUAUUGCUGUGGGUCUGGAGUCACAUGGAGGCCAGGCCAGGGAAAGGCAGCUGGUUUCCUGGAUGGCAAUUAAUGCACUGGGGACCACUAAAUGUUGCUUUGAAGGGACCUCCAGCCACUGGUAACAGCACCAAAAUACUUUAUCCCCACCGUGGAACGACAAAAGGGCACUGUCUCAUGACUGGAAUUAAUCAAUGCCGGUGUGGAAUCAAGCAGCAUUUCUUCACAUAAUGCGCUCUAGACAUCUGGAGCACUUUCCAUCAAAACUGUGAAAAUAUUGAGUCAACAGAAGAUUUCAAGAGUGUCAUCAAUGAGUGUCGGUCCAAAUCUUCCAACCUCCCAUUUCCGUCGCUCGGACACUAAACAAAAAAAAACUGAAAGAACAGCGGAUGCUGGAAAUCAUCAAUAAAAACAGAAAUGGCUGGAUAAACUCAGUCGGUCUGGCAACAUCUGUGGAGAGUAAUUAAAAUUUCAGGCCCAGUCACCCUUCUUCAGAAUUGAUGGUACCGUGG